rnacentral:lncRNA from 10 species
UAUGAUCCUAGCUCACAGGAGCAGUAUAAAAUAAAAGAUGUGAAAAUACAAUGGAACCCAUCCUAAGUUUACCCAAAUCUAAUUCUGGGUGCAGAUUAUAUUUGCAAAAAAGCAUUCUUAAGAACAUGCAAAAAAAAAAAAAAAAAAAAGUGAAAAGAUGUCAGUGAAAAAAAUAAAUACUUGGUGACCCAUUUGGAAAGGUGAUAGUCCAAAGUAAUAAUUUUCUUAUGAAAGUUAACAAUUAUUUUUAAACAAGGUUUAAGCCUUGUUUAAAAAUAAUUGUUAACCUCAAAUUUAUGUCUUCACAGAUGUGAUGACUUCCCUAUUCGGAUGCCUGCGAGCUUGCACACUCGUGUACGGGCACACACAUACAUACACAGAGCAGCAAUGGUAGAAAUAUGACACAUAUCAGUUGGGAAAACUGGUAUACACAUACAGAAGAAUGAAAUUGGACCCUUAUCUCACACUAAAUACAAAAAUCAACUCAAAAUGGACUAAAGACUUAAACAUAAGACCUGAAACUGUAAAACUAAUAGAAGAAAACUUAGAGUAUAGUUCCAUGACAUUAAUCUAGGCAAUGAUUUUUUUUGGACAUGAUCCCAAAAGUACAGACAACAAAAGCAGAAAUAUAUAAAUGGAAUUGUUUUAAACUAAAAAGCUCUAUGUAGCAAAGGAAACAAUCAAAAGAGUGAAGAGACACCUUAUGGAAUGGGAGAAAACAUGUGAAGACUUUGCAUCUGCUAAAGGGUUAAUAUCCAAAACAUAUAAAGAACUCAAACAAAUGGGCAAAUGUCAUAAGUAGACAUUUCUCAAGACAUACAAAUGGCCAACUUGUCAGAAUGAAUAUCAUAAAAAAUAUGAAAGAUUACAAGUUCUAGCAAAGAUGUGGAGAAAAGGAAACCCUUGCAAACUGUCGGUUGGAAUGUAAAUUAGUGCAGCCAUUAUGGAAAACAGUAUGGAGGUUCUUCAACAAAUUAAAAAUAGAACUACCAUGUGAUCCUGCAGUUCCACUUCUGGGUAUAUACCCAAGGGAAAUAAAAUCAUUGUGUCAAAGAGAUAGUUGCACUUCCAUCUUUAUUGCAGCACUAUUCAUGAGCCAAGAUACGGAAUCAACAAAAGUGUCCAUCAAUUAAUGAAUGAAGAAAAAAAUAUGCUGUAUAUAUAUAUACAAUGGAAUACUAUUCAGCCUUAAAGAAGCAAAAAAUUGUAUGAUUUGUGACAACAUGGAUGAACCUGGAGGAUAUUAUGUUAUGUGAAAUAAGCCGGGCACAGAAAGACAAAUACUGCAUGAUAUGGUUUGGCAAGCAACACACAGUAUUUGGAGCAAGGCAUUUAAAGACCGCAAAGGCAAAAGCUUUGUUUCUU